rnacentral:rRNA from 1 species
AUUGAACGCUGGCGGCAUGCCUUACACAUGCAAGUCGAACGGCAGCACGGGGCGAACCUGGUGGCGAGUGGCGAACGGGUGAGUAAUGCAUCGGAACGUGCCAUUGAGUGGGGGAUAACGUAGCGAAAGUUGCGCUAAUACCGCAUAUUCUGCGAGCAGGAAAGCGGGGGGACCGCAAGGCCUUGCGCUCUUUGAGCGGCCGAUGUCAGAUUAGCUGGUUGGUGAGGUAAAGGCUUACCAAGGCGACGAUCUGUAGCGGGUCUGAGAGGAUGAUCCGCCACACUGGAACUGAGACACGGUCCAGACUCCUACGGGAGGCAGCAGUGGGGAAUUUUGGACAAUGGGCGCAAGCCUGAUCCAGCCAUGCCGCGUGAGUGAAGAAGGCCUUCGGUUGUAAGU